UGAAUUGUCGCGGUUCUGAAAUUUGUUGUUAUGAUGGCCUCAUUUAUUCUUUCGCCCCCAAGGCUUCUUAUUAUAUGGUCAUCUAUUUUCACGUUUAUUCUGCUGGAAUGACGUGUUAUUAAUAUCUGACAAUGGGGUAGCACCCGUUGGGCAUACUUGAUGGUUUUUCAACAACAAUUCAUUAUUCUUUUUUGCAACAAGAAGGAUAAAC
rnacentral:lncRNA from 1 species